GCGACAGCGGCCGCCGGCUUCUAAGGCGGUUUGAGACCUUAAGACCCUAAAUCCUUGGCGCGCGUGAGCGCCCGCGCCGCUCCUUACCCACUCCCAGGGCUAGGGGUGCGAGGUUCACCGACUUGAUUCUCUCCCACUUUCCCGCCGGGAGCUAACCGCGCCGGUGUGCGCGGCACCUCGCGCCACUGCUCGCUCCUGGCCCCC
rnacentral:lncRNA from 1 species